UAUAUAUUCAAGUUUAUCAUGACGUCGUAUGAUACCAGAUGCUAAGAUACAUUGCUUUUAUGCGUCAAUAGAAUAUGCGUGUGUAAACAGAUUCUAUAAAGAUGCAGAAUAAUAUUAUCACCUGAGUAAGUUCCCUCUUGGAGAUGCAGAAUAAUAUAAUUUGCCUUGUCAUAUAUAAUACUACAACACAUAUACGCAUCACCGCGAUGUACAACACCCCUAGCAAUGUUUCACCCUGUUAAUGAUAUUCAUCAACUUAGCUCUACACUAAUCAAGAUCAACUCGUACACUUACCCAGCGACUUAACCACUAUAUAGCCUUAACCUCUUAAACUAAUCAACAAUUAUACAAAUUACUAUAACAUACAUCAAUUAACAACUAUCAGCCACUCUCGAAUGAGGAAAAGUAAGAACUCGAAAAACAAGAGCAGAGCAACAAAUAUCCAGAAGAUAUGCCACAUAAAUAUUAAACCUACAAAACCAGCACCAACAAUUAACAAUUACUACCAAUUUACCUAGUUUUGUGCUUAUAAGUAAAUUUCAGAUCAAAUAAGUCAAAUAUCACUUGAAGUUGAGUCACACUUAAAACUGUUGUAACCGAUACAUAAACUUUAAAAUUCUUGAUUCUUAAGAAAUCAAGCAAACACAACUUAUACUCAAAGUAACUAGCCAUAUCAUCUUACCACAAAAACAAAAGUAAUUUAAUAGCUCCUUAAUUAGAAAAGAUUCAAUCUUUCUUUACCCUUUAGUUACAUGAAUCAGUAUCAGUUCCUCAUUCGAGUAAAUAUUUAAAUAAAAAUAUAUCAAACAAUCAUUUCAGUAAUAUUUCCUAUUUUGAGUAAAAAAUCAUUUUAAAUACACACACAAGAAGCAAAGAAAUGGCAGAUAGAAUCUAUACACAUAACUAUAGAUACAACUAAAAGCAUGAAAAGGGCUGCCUUAUAAUUUUACCAAAGACCACCAAAACCAGCAGCUAAAAAAGCACCCUUCUUGUUCUUUGCCUUGAAACAAUACAAGCACUCUGUGAAUCAGCUAACGGGUAUGCCUUUGGGUUCACUUCUCCUGCACUCUAGAAUUUCAAGAACAUAUAUAUAAAAAUUCAAGAAAACACACACAAACAGAGGGUGAGGGAGAGGGGGAGAGAGGGAGGGUACCAUUCUCAAUUUUCCAGUGAGUUAAAAUUCAUCAAUAUACAACUAAAUCUCUGCAAAUGAGCCGGAAACAAUAUACACAUCAACAAUUACACAAAAUCAAACAAAACCCUAACUAAAAAGCAGAAAACUCACAUGGAGAAACUCCAGCUUGUCUUAGAGGUUUUUGAGAGCAGUUCGAAUAGCAAUUAAAAGACUUGGCCUCACAAAUAGCCAAAUCAUCACCCGAAAACCCCUUAACAAAAACAAACCCAUUCCCAUUCUCCUCAUACCCCCAAACCCAUUUCUCUUCCGCCCCGGAUCUGCCCGAAGAACUGAUUUACCACCAAGAAUGAGUUUGCAAAAAUCACAGUUAGGGUUCGGAGGGGGAGAGUGAUUGAGUAAUGGAGGUGGAAGUAUAGAGAUGAGUUGGUAAGUGUAGCUGUUUGGGGGCCGAUUGUAGGGUUUGAGAUUUGUGAUUAGUCUCGUCAGUUUAUUUUGGGGAGAGAGAUAUUGAGAGAGAGAUUGAGGGAGAGAGAAUUAUGUUUUUCUGAUUUUUGGGGUUAAAGAAAUUUGGGGACUGAAGGUUUGAAAGGGGGAAUAUUGUGGUGUUUAUUUUGUUUGAUUUUGGGGUUAAAAGAAUUGGGGGGAACGAAAAUUUGACUAAGGGCGGAAAUAUACAGGAAAUAUUUGGGGGAGGGGGGAAAGACAUGGUUGCCGCGCGCUUUUUGUUUUUAAUUCAAAGAAGAUAGACAUCGGUUCUUAUAUUAACUGAUGUCAAAAAUGUAAUAGACAUCGGUUAAUUUUUAGCCGAUGUUAAUACAAGCUUUUACAUCGUGGCCAAAGUCGACCGAUGUCUAUACCCUGAUGUCUAUUCUACUUUUUCUAGUAGUG
rnacentral:lncRNA from 1 species